rnacentral:tRNA from 1 species
UAGAGAAUAGUAUAGAGGGAGUACGGGGGGUUUUGAUUCUCCAAGUAUGGGUUCAAAUCCCAUUUUUCUAA